rnacentral:rRNA from 1 species
CCCUUAGAUGUUCUGGGCCGCACGCGCGCUACACUGAUGCAUUCAACGAGCCUAUCCUUGACCGACAGGUCCGGGUAAUCUUUGAAUCUGCAUCGUGACGGGGAUAGAUUAUUGCAAUUAUUAAUCUUCAACGAGGAAUUCCUAGUAAGCGCGAGUCAUCAGCUCGCGUUGAUUACGUCCCUGCCCUUUGUACACACCGCCCGUCGCUCCUACCGAUUGAAUGGUCCGGUGAAAUCUUCGGAUUGCUGACCAAGAUCCAGCAAUGGAGCUUGGUUGCGAGAAGUUGAUUAAACCUUAUUAUUUAGAGGAAGGAGAAGUCGUAACA